rnacentral:rRNA from 1 species
UAGGGAAUCUUCCGCAAUGGACGCAAGUCUGACGGAGCAACGCCGCGUGAGUGAAGAAGGACUUCGGUUCGUAAAACUCUGUUGUUAGAGAAGAACAUCGCAUAGAGUAACUGUUCUUCGUGUGACGGUAUCUAACCAGAAAGCCACGGCUAACUACGUGCCAGCAGCCGCGGUAAUACGUAGGUGGCAAGCGUUGUCCGGAUUUAUUGGGCGUAAAGCGAGCGCAGGCGGUCAAUUAAGUCUGAUGUGAAAGCCCCCGGCUCAACCGGGGAGGGUCAGUGGAAUCUGGUUGACUUGAGUGCGGAAGAGGAGAGUGGACUUCGAUGUGUAGCGGUGAAAUGCGUAGAUAUAUGGAGGAACGCCAGUGGCGAAGGCGACUCUAUGGUCUGUAACUGACGCGGAGGCUCGAAAGCGUGGGUAGCAAACAGG